UACGAAGGGUGCAAGCGUUACUCGGAAUUACUGGGCGUAAAGCGUGCGUAGGUGGUGAGUUAAGUCUGUCGUGAAAGCCCCGGGCUCAACCUGGGAAUGGCGAUGGAUACUGGCUCGCUAGAGUGCGGUAGAGGAGAGUGGAAUUCCCGGUGUAGCAGUGAAAUGCGUAGAUAUCGUGAGGAACACCAGAGGCGAAGGCGACUUCCUGGACAAUUGCUGACGCUCAGGCACGAAAGCGUGGGGAGCAAAAGGG
rnacentral:rRNA from 1 species